AGUCGGCUUUCGGAGGAGUGGACGGACUUUGAAACUUAAAAUGACUUAAAAAAAACGUCACGGAUGUAAAUAUACUUUAAAAACUUUUUUUUAACGCCAAUAAUAUUAAGAAAAUUAGAAAAUCCAAGGAAAAUAUGGAAUCGCGGCUAAGAGAAAAUCCAAAACGAGUUUUUGAAUGUUUCUGUGAAGUAGUCAUUCCAUCUUCUAGUAAUGAAAAUUGCUGGAUUUUGCAGAAGUUUCCUGAUUCUUACAAUAACGAGGAAAUGUUGAAGUCCAUAAUUGAAUUUUCUUAUCCUUGUGAAUUUACAAAGUAAGUCAUUUUAAAGCUUUAUAUUU